AGCGCGCCCCGGCCUGAGUGGAGCUCUUUUUCUUGAAAAGAAAAAAGCGGGAACGGAGGACGGAUAAAGGC
rnacentral:misc_RNA from 1 species